UAGGGAAUCUUCGGCAAUGGACGAAAGUCUGACCGAGCAACGCCGCGUGAGUGAAGAAGGUUUUCGGAUCGUAAAACUCUGUUGUUAGAGAAGAACAAGGACGUUAGUAACUGAACGUCCCCUGACGGUAUCUAACCAGAAAGCCACGGCUAACUACGUGCCAGCAGCCGCGGUAAUACGUAGGUGGCAAGCGUUGUCCGGAUUUAUUGGGCGUAAAGCGAGCGCAGGCGGUUUCUUAAGUCUGAUGUGAAAGCCCCCGGCUCAACCGGGGAGGGUCAUUGGAAACUGGGAGGCUUGAGUGCAGAAGAGGAGAGUGGAAUUCCAUGUGUGGCGGUGAAAUGCGUAGAUAUAUGAAGGAACACCAGUGGCGAAGGCGGCUCUCUGGUCUGUAACGGACGCUGAGGCUAGAAGGCGUGGGGAGCAAACAGG
rnacentral:rRNA from 1 species